rnacentral:rRNA from 1 species
GAUGAACGCUAGCGGGAGGCUUAACACAUGCAAGUCGAGGGGCAGCAUAGAGUAGCAAUACUUUGAUGGCGACCGGCGCACGGGUGAGUAACGCGUAUGUAACCUACCCUGUACAGGGGGAUAGCCCGGAGAAAUUCGGAGUAAUACCCCAUAAUGAUAUCGAGAGGCAUCUUUUGAUAUUUAAAGCUUCGGCGGUACGGGAUGGGCAUGCGAGACAUUAGCUAGUUGGUAAGGUAACGGCUUACCAAGGCUGCGAUGUCUAGGGGUCCUGAGAGGGUGAUCCCCACACUGGUACUGAGACACGGACAAGACUCCUACGGGAGGCAGCAGUGAGGAAUAUUGGUCAAUGGGCGUAAGCCUGAACCAGCCAUCCCGCGUGAAGGAAGAAGGCGCUAUGCGUCGCAAACUUCUUUUCCAGAGGAAUAAAAUUUUGUACGCGUACAGAACUGAAGGUACUCUGGGAAUAAGCAUCGGCUAACUCCGUGCCAGCCGCCGCCGUAACAC